AGCCAGCAAGCCCUGAGCCUGGUGGGUCAGUGCAGCUUCUUGGAUUCCCCUUUGAAUUUCUGCCAUAUUACUUGAUCUGGCAUUUUUCUCAAGGUUCAUCUUUAAAUUCCUUCCUGCCUGCUGCUUUGUCAUGAAUCAAAAUGUAUCCUGCAUGACUAUUAUAGGUCUUCCUGCAGGCCAUUUGGCAUCCUUGCAGCUGUGAGAGAAUUGCAUGCCAGACUGGAUUUCACCAUUAUGUGUCCCAUAGAGUCAGAAAUAACCUUCCCGGAUCCACUGCUCCCCGGUGAUGAUACAAGGAUGGCCAGGCUUAAGUUUCCACCAAAAUGCGUGAUGACAGCAAUGAAGAACUGAAGGUAUCCUAUUGACGACAGCAAUUACAGCU
rnacentral:lncRNA from 14 species